rnacentral:rRNA from 1 species
AAAUUGAAGAGUUUGAUCAUGGCUCAGAUUGAACGCUGGCGGCAGGCCUAACACAUGCAAGUCGAACGGUAACAGGAAACAGCUUGCUGUUUCGCUGACGAGUGGCGGACGGGUGAGUAAUGUCUGGGAAACUGCCCGAUGGAGGGGGAUAACUACUGGAAACGGUAGCUAAUACCGCAUAACGUCGCAAGACCAAAGAGGGGGACCUUCGGGCCUCUUGCCAUCGGAUGUGCCCAGAUGGGAUUAGCUUGUUGGUGAGGUAACGGCUCACCAAGGCGACGAUCCCUAGCUGGUCUGAGAGGAUGACCAGCCACACUGGAACUGAGACACGGUCCAGACUCCUACGGGAGGCAGCAGUGGGGAAUAUUGCACAAUGGGCGCAAGCCUGAUGCAGCCAUGCCGCGUGUAUGAAGAAGGCCUUCGGGUUGUAAAGUACUUUCAGCGGGGAGGAAGGGAGUAAAGUUAAUACCUUU